CCAAACAAGAAGGGAUACCUCGGGAACUGAGGGUAAUUCCACAUAGGAAACAGAACUUGGAAAAGCCUGUUUCUCAAAUCCUUCGGGGCUGUAGGAUGGCUCGGCGGUGGAUUAGGCUGUUGGUGAUGUAAUGGCUCACCAAACCUGAGAUCCAUAGGGGCCUUGAGAGAGGAAGCCCCCAGAGGCACACUGAGAAAAAGGUGCCAGCCCUACGGGGUGCAGCAGUGACGAACACUUCGCAAUGCGCGCAAGCGUGACGAGGGUAUCCCACGUGCUUGUAUUUUAUACAAGCUUUUGUCGUCUGUUAAAAGGACGGCGAAUAAGUGAGUGGGUAAGACUGGUGCCAGCCGCCGCGGUAAUCCCAGCGCCACAAGUGGUUUUCACGAUUAUUGGGUCUAAAGCAUCCGUAGCUGGCUCGUUAAGUUCUCUGUGAAAUCCGGCAGCUUAACUGUCGGGCGUGCAGAGAAUACUAUCGAGCUAGAGAGCGGGAGAAGUAGGCGGUAUGCUCAAGGGAGCGGUAAAAUGUUUUAAUCUUGAGUGGACCACCAACGGCGAAGGCAGCCUACUAGAACGCGUCUGACAGUGAGGGAUGAAAGCUGGGGGAGCAAAAGGGAUUAGAUACCCCUGUAGUCCCAGCCGUAAACGCUGCCCAUUAGAUGCUGCGGCUCUUUUAAGGAAUCGCAGUGUCGUAGCGAAGGUGUUAAAUGGGCCACCUGGGGAGUACGGCCGCAAGACUGAAACUUAAAGGAAUUGGCGGGGGAGCAC
rnacentral:rRNA from 1 species